CCUACAGGAGGCAGCAGUGGGGAAUAUUGCACAAUGGGGGGAACCCUGAUGCAGCGACGCCGCGUGGGUGAAGGAGUAUUUCGGUAUGUAAAGCCCUAUCAGCAGGGAAGAACAAUGACGGUACCUGACUAAGAAGCACCGGCUAAAUACGUGCCAGCAGCCGCGGUAAUACGUAUGGUGCAAGCGUUAUCCGGAUUUACUGGGUGUAAAGGGAGCGCAGGCGGCGCGUUAAGCCUGGUGUGAAAGUCCGCGGCCCAACCGCGGGACUGCAUUGGGAACUGGCGCGCUGGAGUGCCGGAGGGGUAGGCGGAAUUCCUAGUGUAGCGGUGAAAUGCGUAGAUAUUAGGGGGAACACCAGUGGCGAAGGCGGCCUACUGGACGGUGACUGACGCUGAGGCUCGAAAGCGUGGGGAGCAAACAGGAUUAGAUACCCUUGUAGUC
rnacentral:rRNA from 1 species